GACGAACGCUGGCGGCGUGCUUAACACAUGCAAGUCGAACGGAAAGGCCCUGCUUUUGUGGGGUGCUCGAGUGGCGAACGGGUGAGUAACACGUGAGUAACCUGCCCUUGACUUUGGGAUAACUUCAGGAAACUGGGGCUAAUACCGGAUAGGAUCUCCUGCUGCAUGUGGGGGGUUGGAAAGUUUCGGCGGUUGGGGAUGGACUCGCGGCUUAUCAGCUUGUUGGUGAGGUAGUGGCUUACCAAGGCUUUGACGGGUAGCCGGCCUGAGAGGGGGACCGGGCACAUUGGGACUGAGAUAGGGCCCAGACUCCUACGGGAGGCAGAAGUGGGGAAUAUUGCACAAUGGGCGGAAGCCUGAUACAGCAACGCCGCGUGCGGGAUGACGGCCUUCGGGUUGUAAACCGCUUUCGCCUGUGACGAAGCGUGAGUGACGGUAAUGGGUAAAGAAGCACCGGCUAACUACGUG
rnacentral:rRNA from 1 species